CCGGGAGUCCGCCUGAAGAACAGGGUAAAGAAAAAAGGAAGUCUUGGAGCCCGCCUGAAGAAUAGGGCGAAGGAAAAGCAAGCCAGGAGUCCGCCUGAAGAAUAGAGUGGAUUUUUAAGUUCAAGUCACGAAGAUUAGAAUUAAGAUUCUAAAGAUUGCAAUUUGCACUUGUACUUUUCAUUUUUUAUUUUUGUUAGUCAUUUAAUGUAAAAGGCAGAAGUCGCUAAUCGAAAACUUGACGGAAUCUCACUCGAAUUCUAUCUCUUUCUCUCACUUUUUUUAUUGAACUACACAUGACCUGCUUCCCUUAUAACCCGGGAUAUGUAGGCGGUCCAAAAUCAAGACUCGGUCACAUCUUUUAUUUUAUUUUAUUUUAUUUUAUCUUCACUUUUAGAAUAAUCGGAGGAUCAAAAAUCAUCUCUUUGUCUACGUCUUUGUAUGAAAACUCUUUGAGAUUUCAAACCAAGCGGGGCAAAAUGUAGACUCGUGAUUUUGACCCUCCCCGAGUUUAAUAUAUAUAUUUUUUGAUAUUAAAUAUUUAUAUUUGGUCCGAUAUUGUUUUAAUUCUUAUUUUAUUUUAAGUUUUUAGUUAAAAAGUAAAUAAUUAAAUAAAGUUAAUUUUGAUAUAUUUUAUUUAUAUUUUUAUUCUAAUUUUAAAAAUAAUAUUAAAAAAUUAAAAAUAUUUUCUUUUCUAAAAUUUUGAUAAACAAAUUAGUAGUUUUAAUAUUAUUUUAUUUAUUUUGACUAUUUAUAAAUUUUAUUGUAUUUUUCUUAAACAUAAUUAAAUUAGUUAUUUUAUAUUUAUUAUUAUUAUUGUCUUCUAUUUAAAAAGAAAUAAAAUGAAAAAUUAAUUAUUAUUAUAUUUCAAAAUUUAAAAUAUCCCCUCCCCCUUAUCUGUUGAUAAACUACUCCCCCUAGAAAAAGAAAUUGUUCCCCCCAAAUCCAUGUAUUUAAGGACACUCGCCCACCUCAAAAAGGACGGAUACUAUUAUCACUAUCGGAUACAAAAAAUACCAGAGAAAGAUCAGACACUGAAAAAAGCAAAAAUAAAAAAAAAUAAGAAAAGUGAAGUUGAAUUGGAGUUUCGUUCGAGUUUCUAGCAAUAAUAUUCGAGUCUUCUACUUAAUUCAUCACUCAGGUUUCUUUUCAAUUCUACGUUAUUUAUUGUAUAAAUUUUAUUAGGAAUCAAAGUAUGAAUAAAGUAUUCAAGAUGCUAUUUAGGUAUAAAUAUACAUAAUGGUAUGAUUUUAUGCAUAAUAUCUUGUAGCAAAAAAUGUAUGAUGAUAUAAUUUUACUUCCGAAAAUAGUAAAUGAAAAUAUAUAAACAGUUUUUCAAAAAAUGCUCUCUUACAUUACAAGAUGCAUUAGAAAGGAGGAAUUAUAAAACCAGUGAAAAAACAAAGAAAAACAUGCAAUCUACGCAUAGAAUUUUCACAUUUACUUCAAAACAUAUUUUACACAUACUGUCACAAAAAAUAAAAGAAAAUAUAAUUAUUCGUACACAUGUUUAUUUAUCAAAUCACUGUUCUUCAAUUUUCAGUCAUGACAUAAGCAUGUACUCAUCUUCUAUACUCACAAAUCACAGAACACACCCAUACACAGUAAGAAUAUGGAAGAAAAUUAGUCGGGAAAAGAAUUUUUAGACGGGUAAGUUCCGGUGAAAGCUAUAUAAUUUUUCAGCGAAGUUAUUGCCGGAAAAUGUUAAAAACAGCCAUCAAAAUUACCCCUCAUCACCGAAAAAUCCAUCAAAAUCCAACCCAAUGGUCGAUUCCGGUGCUAAUUCGCCAAAAAAAACCAUUCGAGACAGUCACCGAAUCAGAUCAACGACCACCAUUACGCCGGAAACCAGCCGGCUAAACCCAACGCCGUCGGCGUCUCCCCCUUCCCCUUUCCCUAUCGCUACUUCAUUCCAGGCGGCAAAACCACUGCCAGCUGUAUGAAAACGGUUCAGAUCUCGCUGGAAAACACCAAAUCUGGCAACCACUAUUAUGCCGGUGCCUUCUCCUUUUCCCUUUUCCCACCGAAAAAUAGUCCACCGGAUCCGGC
rnacentral:lncRNA from 1 species